UAAUACAAUAAUCGAUUUUAGUGACCUUCGCUGCCGGUUCGUGGUCUAUGGUUGGUGUUGACAAUAGUCAAAAGUACAGAUGUCAGAGAAAAUUAUCUGCAGUGCUUAUAUAUAAAAAAAACAAGCAAUACUAUCUUAUAUAAUAUUUUGUACAGUUAAGUGAUAAAUUUGUCAAUCGGCGCUUUCCUAGGUACCUUGGUUUUCGCUUACAGAAUGAGAAAUUUACUUAAGGUCUAGCCACGACAGCAGGGUAGCUGGGUAAAUUAUUUUACUUAUUCUGGAAACUAGCCACAAGCAUAGGGUAGUGCCUCAGAGCGAUCAUGCGUUAAUGCUAUAAUGCUAUUACCUAAACUAAAACAUUGGUAGUAAGCCAUGCAGUGAAACUAGCUAUGAGGGCAGUGCACGGCAACAAGACUACAGCAAAGCAAUGGGGAAUAAUACUAUAUCUAAAUUGCCUGUAUAGUUACUCGGACAAGUAACUAUGUGUGAUGUGCCCACGAUGUAACAACUGAACUGCCUGGUGGAUGUCUGGACCUGUCUGGUAGGUACGACUGCCGGGGUACUGGAUAGCUAGGGCUGGAAGGGUACUUCGUAACCAUAUACUAAGGCACCACCUGCGGGGAGGCCACUGGUUGGCCAGCAACAAGGAAAACAUAUGUGAACAAAACCAACAAAACUACACUAAUCCAAUCAUUUGCAACCUACUAUCUACUCUCCCCUCUUGGGAAUGACCUUAAAGAUGAUAAGUUAGGCGCAAUAAAAUAAACCUGUAACAAGCUGAUUCGGGAAGAAUUGCUAUUUUUGAAUAUGCUAGAAAUAUAUUACAACAUAGAACAUAUGUUAGAAAACAUAUUAUAAUCAUUUAACAUUUAUAACCGCACUUUAAAAAAAGCUCCAUUUGUUUUACCUAACGCAGGUUGAGCAUACUGAGCGAACUCUUAAUUAAUCAUUCUAGAGUACUCGAACGGCAACUAGUUAACUCUUUAGACUUUAUAUAGGCGAACGACAACUAAACCUUUGGGCAAAAAAGAGUGCACGGAACAGUGAAGCCGAACGCUACAUACGUACGUGAACAGUGUUAGAUUUGGUGAUUAUUCAAUAAAAAUUAAGU